GUGCAGCAGUCGCGAAUCCUCCACAAUACACGAAAGUGUGACGGGCCAUCCCGAGUGCCGUCCGCUGAGGACGGCUUUUCCCCAGUGUACAUAGCUGGGGGAAUAAGGAGAGGGCAAGCCUGGUGUCAGCCGCCGCCGGUAAUACCAGCUCUCCGAGUGGUGGGGACGCUUAUUGGGCCUAAAGCAUCCGUGGCCGGCUGGGCAAGUCCUCCGUUAAAUCCAACGAUUCAAUCGUUGGGCUGCGGGGGAUACUGUCCAGCUUGGGGGCGGGAGAGGCCGACGGUAUUCCCGGGGUAGGGGUGAAAUCCUAUAAUCCCGGGAGGACCACCAGUGGCGAAGGCUGUCGGCUAGAACGCGCCCGACGGUGAGGGAUGAAA
rnacentral:rRNA from 1 species